rnacentral:rRNA from 1 species
UACAGAGGGUUGCCAAGCCGCGAGGUGGAGCUAAUCCCUAAAAAUGGUCGUAGUCCGGAUCGUAGUCUGCAACUCGACUACGUGAAGCUGGAAUCGCUAGUAAUCGCGGAUCAGAAUGCCGCGGUGAAUACGUUCCCGGGUCUUGUACACACCGCCCGUCACACCAUGGGAGUGGGUUUUGCCAGAAGUAGGUAGCCUAACCGUAAGGAGGGCGCUUACCACGGUGGGGUUCAUGACUGGGGUGAAGUCGUAACAAGGUAGCCGUAUCGGAAGGUGCGGUUGGAUCACCUCCCGGAAGGUGCGGUUGGAUCACCUCCAUAAA